CUUAGACACACGCACUUCCUCCAUCCCUUCUGCUGCUAACUUCAGUCUGUGACACAAUCUCACAUGCACAAUUAUAUGAAAACAACAGAGACUCCUGGAAAGGAACAAAAAGAGGGCAAGGCAGGAAGCCAACCUUCAAGUCUCUUGUCCGGGCUUCAGGUGGCCGAGAACUGCUUCUGGUGGCCUGCGGUUUGGUUUCAGUAAUGCACCUGGAGGAGGACAAGCGUGAGCCGUGAUUCACCAGCAGCCAGGUGAGGGAAGGGAAUAGAGGUGCAAAACCAGGAAAGGUCUGGAGUUACAGUUGCAAGGAAUUCCAUGGUCUGUCCCAUCAGGCCUGACUCAGAUUGGUUUGCAAAUUACUUUCUGCAAAAUUCCACUUUGCACAUUGGAAUCUUACCUCUAACUCUUACUUUUCCCAUUGCGUUUCUGCUAUUGGAUCCUAGCUCUUCCCGCUUCCGACUAGAAUGCCUAGCUAGGGAGUGUGUGGCAUAAUGCAGAAAUGCGCAAAGGAAAACACGUGGACAUUAAAAAACAAAACAAAACAAAACAAAAACCCAAAACUUCGUAUGGCAUCACACACAAUUCCACAUCCUUCAAUUAAUAGAUUUGCAAGAUAUUGGGAUGCCUGGGUGGCUCAGCGGUUGAGCAUCUGCCUUCCACUCAGGGUGUGCUCCUGGAGUCCCGGGAUCAAGUCCCUGCAUGGAGCCUGCUUCUUCCUCUGCCUGUGUCUCUGCCUCUCUCUCUGUCUUUCAUAAAUAAAAUAAAAUAAAAUAAAAUAAGAUUUGCAAGAUAUUUUUAUGUAAUUACUAUUCUUAUAAAACAUUUAAGUGACACCAGAGUUAUCUAAAACUAAUCCCAGAUAUGACUUCCAAUUUCACUCUGCUUAAGACAGUAUGACUUCCCAAGGUCUACCAUGUAAAGGAUCGAUCUCUUAUCCUGCAUGGUAAAAAGACUUUAUAAUCUGACCCAACUACCUCUCUCCCCUCAUUCCCCACCAUCCCUUAUUAUGUACACUAUCAAAAAAUGUUACCAUAUCAUCAUUUGGCUCAUAUUUUAUCACUUUGUGGCUCAGCGGAAGUUUCUACCUUUGGCUAGAGUAGGGGCUUCUCAACCCUGGGCACCCAUUAACAUCACCUGGAGAACACUGACAACACCUUUU